UGCGUAGGUGGCAUAUCAAGUCUUUGGUUAAAGAACGGGGCUCAACUCCGUAGAGCCAAGGAAACUGAUAGGCUAGAGUAUGGUAGAGGUGAGUGGAAUUCCAUGUGUAGCGGUAAAAUGCGUAAAUAUAUGGAGGAACACCAGUGGCGAAGGCGGCUCACUAGGCCAAUACUGACACUGAGGCACGAAAGCGUGGGAGCAAACA
rnacentral:rRNA from 1 species